rnacentral:rRNA from 1 species
AUUGAACGCUGGCGGAAUGCUUUACACAUGCAAGUCGAGCGGCAGCGCGGGGGCAACCCUGGCGGCGAGCGGCGAACGGGUGAGUAACGCAUCGGAACGUACCUUGUAGUGGGGGAUAACUAUCCGAAAAGGAUAGCUAAUACCGCAUACGCCCUGAGGGGGAAAGGGGGGGAUCGCAAGACCUCUCGCUACAGGAGCGGCCGAAUGUCCGAUUAGCUAGUUGGUGAGGUAAAGGCUCACCAAGGCGACGAUCGGUAGCUGGUCUGAGAGGAUGAUCAGCCACACUGGGACUGAGACACGGCCCAGACUCCUACGGGAGGCAGCAGUGGGGAAUUUUGGACAAUGGGCGCAAGCCUGAUCCAGCCAUUCCGCGUGCAGGAUGAAGGCCUUCGGUGUAAACUGCUUUUGUUACGGAACGAAACGGACGAGCUCUAAUACAGUUUGCUAA